rnacentral:rRNA from 1 species
CCCUCUACCGUACUCUAGCUUGCCAGUUUUGGAUGCAGUUCCCAGGUUGAGCCCGGGGAUUUCACAUCCAACUUAACAAACCACCUGCGCGCGCUUUACGCCCAGUAAUUCCGAUUAACGCUUGCACCCUCCGUAUUACCGCGGCUGCUGGCACGGAGUUAGCCGGUGCUUAUUCUGUCGGUAACGUCAAAACAGCAAGGUAUUAACUUACUGCCCUUCCUCCCAACUUAAAGUGCUUUACAAUCCGAAGACCUUCUUCACACACGCGGCAUGGCUGGAUCAGGCUUUCGCCCAUUGUCCAAUAUUCCCCACUGCUGCCUCCCGUAGGAGUCUGGACCGUGUCUCAGUUCCAGUGUGACUGAUCAUCCUCUCAGACCAGUUACGGAUCGUCGCCUUGGUGAGCCAUUACCCCACCAACUAGCUAAUCCGACCUAGGCUCAUCUGAUAGCGCAAGGCCCGAAGGUCCCCUGCUUUCUCCCGUAGGACGUAUGCGGUAUUAGCGUUCCUUUCGAAACGUUGUCCCCCACUACCAGGCAGAUUCCUAGGCAUUACUCACCCGUCCGCCGCUGAAUCAAGGAGCAAGCUCCCGUCAUCCGCUCGACUUGCAUGUGUGAGGCCUGCCGGCAGCG